CUAGAUGCUGUGCAACUGAGAUGUGCACACGAAGUAGUUUGCUGAACACUGUGCACUGGCGUGUUAAAAUAGUUGUCCCCAUAUCUAGAGAUCCACUAUUUACAUUAUAAUGCACAACUAAGUUACAUAAGAAAUCCGGAAAAGAGUCGCAAAUUGGGUACACAUUUCCAAGUUAUUCAUUUCACUCUAACCUAUGGAAACAGAAAGAGAGUAAUAACUCGGAAAUACAUACAUUACACACACCCACAUGCAGAUAAUGGAACAUUUGCAAAUUGAUCGUUUAAAACAUUUCCCCUAAAAUUAAGAACUAUUCCUUUAUUAUUUGGGUACCAGCGAUUUUUAACAACCAUGUCGAAUCAGAGAAGAUGGUCAGUUGUCUGGUUAAAGUAAUCUGCUCUAAUGCAAUUAUUUUACUAGGUUAAUAUGCAAUUGCAAGAAGAAUAAGCAAAGCAAUGAACUGGGAUGCAAGGGAAAAUGUUUUCCAAACUAAAGAAUGUUGGGGGAAUGGGAAUAUUUGGAGCAGGAUAGGAACCUGUAGUGAGAAACAGUUGAUUUUGUUGCUAUAACCCUGCUAAAGCCAGGUUACAAAGUUUGGUUUUUGUUUUCCAGGAAGUAAAACGUUCAUUUUAAACAUUAGUAAGCGGUUUCUUGAUUAGUGGUGGAAUGAAUUUCAGGAGUGGAGCUAAUGCAGCUCGGAGUGAGGACGAAAUCAUCGUGCACGGUAGCAGCAAUAUUUUCCGGAGAAAUUAAACAGACCUGCAGCUCAGAUUUCCCUUCAUUCUAUUUAAGAGAAGCCCAGCGCUGCUUAUUGUGGAAGAAUCUACUGUUCCAUCUAUCAGGGAGUUAUCAUGCUGAGACAGAAUGUGAAAUGGACCUGAAUGAGGAUUACAGAAAAGCAAGAGCUGAGUUAAUUCAAUAUCUCCAUUUGUUAUGGACUAUAUCUGUAUCAUUCUUGUUUCCUGAUAAUAAUACUUUGCAUUUCCACAGUGUUGUUUAUCUGGAGAUUUCAAAGUGCAUUACAAACAUUCAGUAAAUAGGUAAGAAUUCUUAUAUUCAUUUUUACAGAAGGGGAAACCGCAGUAAAGGCAAGUGUAGGCAUCAACCUUUGAACAUGCUGGCUUUAAGUUGGGCCCUGCCUACAUUAGAAACUUUUACACUAGGAAAAUUACUGGUGCAACAUGCUAAUAAAGAUGCACAAUAGCAGUUUAAAACA
rnacentral:lncRNA from 1 species